AUGAUCUUAAGGUGUGUCUCAUUGUUGUAUCUGUCAGAUGACGCUUUAGUAUCUGACUCAGCUCACGGGAACGCGCGGACAAGAAACAGUCAUUUUGUAAGUGAAGUGACGUCCACAGUUUUUCCAGUUUGUCAAGCAGAGCCUCUCAACAGAGACUCCAGGUCUGAGGACAUCCCAGCCACCAUGCAGAGACCUCAGCUUGAAUGGUGGAGUCUUCUACUUCUGUUCCUCAGUGGAGUAUUCCUUUCACCACCCAACAGCAUCUCCAGAACAUCAGAUCCAGCAGCUCAGAUGCUGUUUUCACUUUCACCCAAAAGACAUGUAGCUGAAGGUCAUGGACCCGUACACGUGGCCCCAGGACACCCAGGUCAGGGAGGAUGUUCCUCCGUCUCCAGUCAAAAGCCUGGAAUCAGGUAA
rnacentral:lncRNA from 1 species